UUUUGCCUUCCAAGUGACAGCGACAGAGCUGAUGAACCUUUCUUCCAAAUGCUACCCUCCGCCAUUAAAAUUUGGUCCCUUGCUUUUUUUAGCCUCCAUACAGAAUGACCACAGUAUGACUCCAGCCCAAGAGAAGGAGAGAUUUGGCACGGAAACAGCAAAUUAAGCCAGCCAAGCUAAGGCGAGAUGAAAUGGGUCACACCAGAUAGAGUGUCAGCAGAAGAUAAGAGAGAAGGAAAACAGAUAAACAAGAAAUGGGGUGUUUAUUCCUAGUUCCUACCACAGCACAGAGGAGCACUGGACCUUGUUCGGAGCCCUGCUUUCAGGGGACAGAAGAACCCACUGCUCUCCAGCCUUUCUCCUAGGGGUGCAGAAAGUACAGAUGGAGAAAAGUGGUGCUGGGCUGGCAACGAAGAAUCCACACAAUGAGCCCUCAAUAAAUAGUACAUUUGCCCUGAAAAAUUCCUCUAAAAUUGUGAUGUCUCCUUUUCUUCUUAUUAUA